AAUUUUAUAGUUUAAUAAAAACAUUAAAGUGCAACUUUAAAAUUAUUUAAUUAAUUAAAAUUU
rnacentral:tRNA from 1 species